AACGCACAUUGCACUUCCGGGAUAUGCCCGGGAGUAUGCUUAUUUGAGUGUCUGCAAACCCCACUCAACCAAUUGCAAUUAUUUGUGAUUGUGUUGGACUCUGGGAUUGGGAAAAGUGGUAUAUAUUAACAAUGUAUCAUUUGUCCCUUUCCUGAAAUGCAGGGCUUUGCGAGAUGAUACACCAAACGCAAUGAUAGCCCGUAAUGGUAAUGUUGUUGUAAUGACAGCUUGAUUAAUACGGUGUUAUUUGUUGUCGGUCAUCUGAACAAUGGCAAAUAGUUGAACAUUGUUCAACGAUUAAAACUUCCAAUCAGAUCUCAAAUUAAGUAAGAAGACCUGCCGAAUUUAA
rnacentral:misc_RNA from 1 species